UUCGAUGGAUUGAAAUAUUUCUAAUUUUACCCUUCGAGGGCCAUCGAUCAUCAAGAUGAUGCCCGAUGAGUCUCACAAUCCAUCAGUGAUACCUAGCAGUAUAUAGUGGCAACCCAGUAAGAUGAAAUAUGAACUCCUAGGUGCAGUUAUCAUAUGAUUCAGUCCUUCUAUUGUGAGUCCCAACUUGACGAAGAUCAUGGAGAGCUCGUCAUACCUCAUCAUCAGUCAUAUGCUAGAUUGGCUCGACUCGAGUUCAUUUAUAAAUUUU
rnacentral:lncRNA from 1 species